UACGGGGGGGGCAAGCGUUGUUCGGAAUUACUGGGCGUAAAGGGCUCGUAGGCGGCCAACUAAGUCGGAUGUGAAAUCCCCAGGCUCAACUUGGGAACUGCAUCCGAUACUGGAUGGCUUGAAUUCGGGAGAGGGAUGCAGAAUUCCAGGUGUAGCGGUGAAAUGCGUAGAUAUCUGGAGGAAUACCGGUGGCGAAGGCGGCAUCCUGGACCGACAUUGACGCCGAGGAGCGAAAGCUAGGGGAGCAAACGGG
rnacentral:rRNA from 1 species